GAUGAACGCUGGCGGCGUGCCUAAUACAUGCAAGUCGAGCGAACAGACGAGGAGCUUGCUCCUCUGACGUUAGCGGCGGACGGGUGAGUAACACGUGGAUAACCUACCUAUAAGACUGGGAUAACUUCGGGAAACCGGAGCUAAUACCGGAUAAUAUAUUGAACCGCAUGGUUCAAUAGUGAAAGACGGUUUUGCUGUCACUUAUAGAUGGAUCCGCGCCGCAUUAGCUAGUUGGUAAGGUAACGGCUUACCAAGGCAACGAUGCGUAGCCGACCUGAGAGGGGGAUCGGCCACACUGGAACUGAGACACGGUCCAGACUCCGACGGGAGGCAGCAGUAGGGAAUCUGCCGCAAUGGGCGAAAGCCUGACGGAGCAACGCCGCGUGAGUGAUGAAGGUCUGCGGAUCGUAAAACGCUGUUAGUAGGGAAGAACAAAUGUGUAAGUAACUAUGCGCGUCUGGACGGUACCUAAUCAGAAAGUCACGGCUAACUACGU
rnacentral:rRNA from 1 species